AUGGGCAGCAACACCCUUACGUUGAUGCACGAGAUCCGGCGCUCGCAUCGUGCGGAGGGGCCUGCGGCCAUCCUCGCCGUCGGCACGGCAAACCCGCCCAACUGCGUGUCCGAGGAGGAGUACCCGGACUACUACUUCCGCGUAACCAAGAGCCAACACCUCACCGACCUCAAACAAAAACUCAAGACCUUCUGCCAGAUGACCUCAACGGAGAAGCGCUACUUUCACCACACGGAGGAGCUACUCGACGCCCACCCCGAAUUCCUCUGCCGCGACAAGCCGUCCCUCGACGCCCGGCUGGACAUCGCCGCUGCCGCUGCUCCAGAGCUGGCGGCGUCAGCCGCAGCCAAGGCCAUAGCCGAGUGGGGCCGUCCGGCCACCGACAUCACCCACCUCGUCGUCAGCACCAACUCCGGCGCGCACGCCCCGGGCGCUGACCUCCGCCUGGCCUCUCUCCUCGGCCUCCGCGCGUCCGUCUGCCGGACGAUGCUCAACCUCAACGGCUGCUCCGCCGGUGCCGCCUCCCUGCGUCUCGCCAAGGACCUGGCCGAGAACAACCGCGGCGCACGGGUCCUGGUGGCCUGCGUCGAGCUCACCGUCGUCGCCUUCCGCGGGCCCGAGGAGGCGUACCCACACAGGCUCAUCAGCCAGGCGAUCUUUGGCGACGGCGCAGGCGCGGUCAUCGUCGGCGCUGAUGCCGUGCUCUCCGUCGAGCGCCCUCUCUUCGAGAUGGUGUCGGCCUCGCAGACCACGAUACCAGCAACCGAUGGCGUGCUCACCAUGCAGCUCACGGAAGCCGGCCUCGACGGCGACAUCUUCACCAGGGAGCUCACUCCUCUAGCCGCACAGCACAUCGGGCAGUGUCUCACGGACGCGUUCCAGCCGCUUGGAAUAAUGAGCGGCGGUGCCGAAUGGAACGAUCUGUUCUUUGUGGUGCACCCUGGCCUCCGUGGAAUAAUGGACCACAUCGACGGGGCCCUCCGGCUGGAUCCCGGGAAGCUGGCGGCGAGCAGGACCGUGCUGAGAGAGUACGGGAACAUGCUCGGUGCGACGCUGAUCUUCGUGCUCGACGAGCAGCGGCGGCGGAUGGAGGAGGACGGCGAGACGGGUGAGUGGGGUGUGAUGAUGGGAUUUGGACCGGGGUUCACGGUUGAGACCAUGGUGCUGCAUGCGGUGGUCAUCGACCUGCACGACGAGAAUUGA
rnacentral:rRNA from 1 species